rnacentral:rRNA from 1 species
UACGUAGGGUGCGAGCGUUGUCCGGAAUUACUGGGCGUAAAGAGUUCGUAGGCGGUUUGUCGCGUCGUUCGUGAAAACUUGGGGCUUAACUCCAAGCGUGCGGGCGAUACGGGCAGACUUGAGUACUACAGGGGAGACUGGAAUUCCUGGUGUAGCGGUGAAAUGCGCAGAUAUCAGGAGGAACACCGGUGGUGAAGGCGGGUCUCUGGGCAAUAACUGACGCUGAGGAGCGAAAGCGUGGGGAGCGAACAGG